AGCAUGUGGUUAAUUCGAAGCAACGCGAAGAACCUUACCAGGUCUUGACAUCCCUGACAACCCGAGAGAUCGGGCGUUCCCCUUCGGGGGACAGGGUGACAGGUGGUGCAUGGUUGUCGUCAGCUCGUGUCGUGAGAUGUUGGGUUAAGUCCCGCAACGAGCGCAACCCUCGACCUUAGUUGCCAGCAUUCAGUUGGGCACUCUAAGGUGACUGCCGGCUAAAAGUCGGAGGAAGGUGGGGAUGACGUCAAAUCAUCAUGCCCCUUAUGACCUGGGCUACACACGUGCUACAAUGGGCGGUACAAAGGGUCGCGAACCCGCGAGGGGGAGCCAAUCCCAAAAAGCCGCUCUCAGUUCGGAUUGCAGGCUGCAACUCGCCUGCAUGAAGCCGGAAUCGCUAGUAAUCGCGGAUCAGCAUGCCGCGGUGAAUACGUUCCCGGGCCUU
rnacentral:rRNA from 1 species